AGUACGUUAGUGUAAUGGUAACACACUUGUCAUGAAUACAUAGAGGUGUGGGUUCGUGUCCCAUGCGUACAG
rnacentral:tRNA from 1 species